rnacentral:SRP_RNA from 1 species
GCCAGGCGUGGUGGUGUGUGCCUGUAUGCCCAACUAUUUGGGAGGCUGACGCUGGAGGAUCUCUUGAGCCCAGGAGUUCUGGGCUGUAAUGCACUAUGCCGAUUGGGUGUCUACACUAAGUUUGGCAUCAAUAUGGUGACCUCCCGGGAGCGGGGGACCACCAGGUUGCCUAAGGAGGGGUGAACCGGCCCAGGUCGGAAACAGAGCAGGUCAAAACUCCCGUGCUGAUCAGUAGUGGGAUUGCGCCUGUGAAUAGCCACUGCACUCCAGCCUGGGCAACACAGCGAGACCCCGUCUCU